rnacentral:rRNA from 1 species
GAUGAACGCUGGCGGCGUGCCUAACACAUGCAAGUCGAACGGGAAACUUGGUUUCGAUCAAGUGGAGAGUGGCGCACGGGUGAGUAACACAUGGCUAACCUGCCCUGAAGACGCGAACAACGCCGGGAAACCGACGCUAAAACGCGAUAAGCUCCCAUCGAAUAGAGAGAAGGGAGAAAAACUCCGGUGCUUCAGGAUGGGGCUGUGGUCCAUCAGCUAGUUGGUGCGGUAACGGCGCACCAAGGCGACGACGGAUAGGGGGCCUGAGAGGGUGACCCCCCACACUGGCACUGAGACACGGGCCAGACUCCUACGGGAGGCAGCAGUGAGGAAUAUUGCGCAAUGGGCGAAAGCCUGACGCAGCGACGCCGCGUGGGUGAUGAAGGUUUUCGGAUCGUAAAACCCUUUUCUGUGUGACGAGAAAAGGACGGUAGCACAGGAAUAAGUCUCGGCUAACUACGUGCCAGCCGCCGCAGUAAGAC